rnacentral:rRNA from 2 species
CUAUUAAACAAGAUAAGAGUUUUUGGUGGAUGCCUUGGGUCUGGAAGUCUAAGAAGGACGUGAUUACCUGCGAUAAGCCUCGGUUAGCUGGAAAUAAGCUGUUAUCCGGGGAUUUCCGAAUGGGGAAACCCAAUUGAGCUAAUCCUCAAUUAUCAUUUCGAUGAAUCCAUAGUCGAAUGAAGAGACACGCUGUGAAUUGAAACAUCUCAGUAGCAGCAGGAAAAGAAAAUAAAGAAUGAUUCCCUUAGUAGUGGCGAGCGAACAGGGAAAAGCCCAAACCAACAUUUGAUGUUGGGGUUGUAGGACUACUUACACGAAGUUAGACAAAACUUAAACAUAGCAGAAUAAGCUGGAAUGCUUAAACAUAGAGGGUGAAAUUCCCGUAAGCGAAAUGAAUAAGUCUUCAAGUAGUAUCCUGAGUAGGGCGGGGCACGUGAAACCCUGUCUGAACCCGCCGGGACCACCCGGUAAGGCUAAAUACUAACCAGACACCGAUAGCGAACUAG